UAUUAUCGACAAAUAUUAUGCAGUAAAAUAUGUAACCUUGAUGUAAAUGCAAAAACAGCUUCUGCAAACACAUUUAUCGCUUAUACAGAAGCUUUGUGAUCCUGUCACCGAAGCGACAGGUUUCCAUAUAAGGAGUGGAUGGAAAAAGUGACAUCAGCAUCUCGUCCAUUAGGCGGCUCUGAUCCCCAACGUGUUGUAGUUAACAGUCGUGUCCUCCUAGUGUGGUACAGCGGCAGACCUCUUUUUGUAGUGAAUAGUAAAUGGACUGGAUUUAUAGAGUGCUUUCAUGGUCAAAGCACUUUACAUUGAUGCCUCACAUUCACCUCUUCACAGAUGUCAGGGUGCUGCCAUACAAGGCGCUCACUACACACCAGGAUCAACUUGGGGAUUCAGGACUUUACCCAGGGGCCCUUAGUGAUUAUCUGGUCGGAUGGGGAUUUGAACCAAGGGUCCUCUGGUUACAUCAUAGCACACAGCCCACAGUGUGGUACAUGGAAAAUAUUUCAGUUUGAUGGUUUUUCUUACACCCUGAUGGGAAAUCCAUGGUCAGACCCACACUGUUCUUUGUUGUUGCCAUGCUCCCCGGCUCGUAUUCACGCCGUGUCACAGUGCUAACGCUAUAAGAUAGCUGUAACAUGUAAUCUGGUUUUAUAAAAUCCUGUUUUACCGACACAUAAACUGUUCUAAAAACUGAUCCCUUCAGUUUAUCUUAUUAAUGUAGCAGCCAUUUUAGCUAGCAAGCUAACUAGGUUAACCUAAUUAAUAAUCCCACUAGCUUUGGUAGUUAGCAUAUUGAUGACUGAAAUUUGGACAUUUGAGUGUUUGUCAGGAAAUAAUUUAUUCUGUAGACGAUUAGGUCGGCAUUGUAAUUUUUACAGCAAAUGUAACUAUGCAGCUUUGUCGCUUAAAUUACUAGCUAACACUGUAGCCAUGAUGGGCCACAUAAACCAACAAAUGGGUUCUCAGCGCAGUUUUAAAAAGAAAUUACUCACUGACUUUUUAGACUUGAAAUACAUCUCUUCUUUUUAAUCUCUUCUUAUUCUUUAAAUCCUGAACAGGGCAGAAAUCGCCCAUCUGUUUAUCUGCCUGUCUGCUUUUUGUCUGGUGAAGCUGAUGGGGAGUGAAGAUUUUCCUUUGAUAACGUUCAUCUCUAUUUUCUUUUUUCCUUUUUUCCGUUUAAUGAACAUCAGUUUUUGUUCGUCACAAACCAGCACACCUGAAAGCGGCAGGUACCAUGCGGCUGUUGUGGAAACUUGUUGCCAUAGUAACACAUCUGAACAGCCGCCAUGAUAACAACACUGUUGGGAUUUAGGAGGAACUGUAUCAUCCACAUCCUUCAGUUUUUUCAAAAACAAUGCCCUUGUUUUAGUUUUUCCUCCCCUGUUAUUAAAAUAAUGGAUUUAGUUCUUCUGUCUACAAACUAGAACUCUGAGUUCAUCCCUCCACCAAAGACUUUUCAUUGAGACCAUUAUUGUACUAUGCUUGUAGUCUUUCUUUCUUCCAGUAUUUUCAGUAACGUGGGUUCUUCCUCCAGGUGAGAUUAUUGUUAUUCCAAAUCAUCUGAGAUCUUUUUGUUUAAAGUGAACAAAUAUUUUCCAGCUGUUUUCACUUUUGUUGACCUUCACUUUCCUUCCACCUCAGUUCCUUUACUCCUUUUCUUUUCCUGUUCCCUAAAUUUCCUUUCUUAUCUUUGCUUUCUUUAUCUUUGGUUCUUUGUUUUUUCACUACUUACCUUCUUAAAUCCUUGUUUAAUGUCCCUCUUCACUUUCAUUCCUAAAUUCUCUUCAUGUUCAUUUCUUUAGUCGUCUCCUUGUUUCCUUCCUGACAUAGACCAUUCGUUAUCUACUUCCUCAUUUCUCAUCUCUUUCUUACCCAUCAUUUCCUUUCCUAGAGCCUCCUUUCCUUCUCUUUUUAUUGUUUUGUCCUUACCAAGAGUAUCUCAUUCCUUAGCUUCUCGUUUCUUUAUACCUUACUUCCUUUCCUAUAUCUCCCCAGUGCUCUUUCUGCCACCUGCCAUUUUAACUGUAUGACUACAUGUCUGCGUGUUUCUGUCUUGGUCUUGCCCUCUUAUGGUCCAGCAGAGAGGAUUAUGGGAUAAAAUAGUUUUUAGCUGAAGGAUUUUCUGACUGAAUUUUCUCACACGAGCAUAAACACUGCUGGUGAGAAAUGAAGGUUAUUCAGGUAAUUUUCUUUGAAAAUAAUGGUUAAUUCAAAUGCUCACAUCAUCUGUGAAUGGCCGUGUCAAAACAAGAAGAGGAAGUACCUGAAGUAACGCGGGCCAUAUGUUAAAGGUGAAAGAGCCAAAUUUCAACUUUUCUUUAAACGUAAUGAUCACAAAGCUCUCUAAAAGAAAUAAAUCGGUAAAAAGACAUUCAGUCCAGAGUAAAAAAAAAAAUAAAAAAAUACAACAAAACAACAACAACAAAAAAUGUAAUUAGAUUUACAGUCAAAUGUGGAACUCAAGGGUUUUAAUUCAUAUUUUAAUCAUCUCUCUAAUCGAUUUCCACGUUAUUUGUUCUGUGGUGAAAUAGCACCCCCCCCCCCCGCACUUUAACUUGGUUAAGAACUGCUAAUCACGUUUGCACUCUGAAUUUCCUCCAGUUUUUCAAUGUCAGUAAAUUGAUUAAUGCAUAACUAAAAACCGUCAAUGUAGGUUUAAGUGGUGAAACAAUUAAUCAGUUAUUAUGAUUAGUUCAGUGAAUCGAUCAUUAGCUUUUGACCAACAGCAAUUUUGAGAGAAAAGUUUGAACGUUCUUGUUCUUUUUUCUGUUUGGACAAAUUCAUGCUGACAUGCUGGUGCUAAUUAAAUGCAAUAAGUUAAUUAGCAUUGUCUGACUAACACAGUAAUGAAAACAGAACACUUUUAUCAUAAGCUAGCAUGCUAACAUUAUUGCAAAGCAUCAGCGUGUUAGCAAACAUACAAAUACGUGAACAAUAUUCUCAUGGCCUCAGCUAAUGCUAACAUCAUUAGCAUGCUGACAUUUAGUUUGCUGUGUUUGCUAACAUUGAGGCCUGUUAGCACAUGUGCAAACAAUAAUACUAGCUUUUUGGUGGUUGCACUAACAGUGAUAUUAUGUCUGAAAUGGUUAUUUAUUUAUUUUGCUUUCAGGUGUCAUCAACUAAAAUGUUGGUGAUGUUGAGACAUAACGUUUUGUUUUAUUUUGACAAGUUUUUAUGUGUUGUAUUUUUGAUUUUGUUUGUUUGCAGAUGUUUUGUUUGAGUGACUUUAACUUAUGUCAGCAAUAUUAAACCGACAAGGUUCUAUAAAAAAAAAAAAAAGACGUUAUCGCUAAAACACGCUAAAUGUUUGAUUGUUUAGAACAGUCAGUCCGGAAGAUUCUGUGCUUUUCAUUAAAAACACAAAACCCACAGCCAUGAGGAAAAAAAAAAGACAAAAACAAAAUCAGCACUCAUUAGAUCUCUGUCCCAUCAGAUCUGGAUCUUUGUGGAAGCUCAGACUUUGAGUUGUUAUGAAAAUUAAAACUCACUGAAUUAGGAUUGUUUUUUCUUUGUAUAUUUAAGUCACUGUAUUUAAAUUUAUUUAAACCACAACUGAAAUAAUGUCAUUAAGGCACGUUUAUUUUUCAGACUUUUAUUUUAGAAAUGUUUUCUGAGCUGUUUUUUUUUUAAAUGCUGAUGUUUUUGUGCAAUAACGCUGUAAAAUAGUGUUUUAUUCAUUCGAUAAAAUGUAAUAGUUAACACUGACUUAUGAGCUAAUGAAGCUUCGUCUGCAAAAAAGCACUUUAAUUGCUUAUAGAAAAGGUGAAACCUUCACUUCUAUUUAUUUUGUUGUUAUGAAAUUGGAUGGCUUCAGUCUAAUUUUGUUCCUGUGAUUUUUUUUUUUCUUUUUUUCCAGGUGCAUUUCUUCUGCAUUAAUUUCAAGACUAAAGCUCAUUAGACUUUAAGAAAAAAACUGCUCAGGUGAUCCAUCAUGUUCACUGUGAGAUUUAUUUCAUUAUAUCUAAUUUGAAAAGUCAUAAUUGGAGUAGAAAGAUCUGUCAUACGAGUAUGUUACAGCAUAAAGAUAUUAUAUUAAGACAAAUAAACAAAUUACCUCGUAAUUGUGACAAAGAUUUAAUUAUUAAUGUGAAUGAAUUUCACGAUCACACCAAAAAGAGGUUGUCAUUGUAACUGAACAAAAAAAUCAUUUGACAAAUAUUUAACGAUCACAGCAUGGAGAUCCAAUAAUUGCACGCACGCACGCUCUCACAGGAAAAUUUACAAAGUAAAUGCUACUGCACAAAUGUCUCACAAUCAUAACAAAUGAUUUUAUACAUGUGGCAUCAGAUUUUACUUUCACAAAAGAAAGUUUAUCUUCUUUGGAGAAGAUUUGGAGUGCCUGAAGUUGAAGAAAUACUUUGAGCUGUUUCUGUAGCAAAGUUUUGACUGGAUGCAAAGACGUUUACAUUCAGUUCUGAUGGAUCCUGAUUGGGAUUUUAGUCGCUGCGAUAAACCUUUCCUGCGAAUCUUUGUUGGAACGACAGUCAUGUUUUGACAGUCACGCAUAACAGCGCCUUAAAAAAGAAAAAGAAAAGCCUUUAUCUGUCAUCAUUGGUCGAUACAGUCUUCUGAUUUCAUUGGCCGAUGGAUGUGAUCCUGUGCUGUCAUUGGCUGAAUUAUAAAAUAAAAACGAACUUGACCAAAGA